rnacentral:rRNA from 1 species
ACGAACGCUGGCGGCGUGCUUAACACAUGCAAGUCGAACGGAAAGGCCCUGCUUUUGUGGGGUGCUCGAGUGGCGAACGGGUGAGUAACACGUGAGUAACCUGCCCUUGACUUUGGGAUAACUUCAGGAAACUGGGGCUAAUACCGGAUAGGAGCUCCUGCUGCAUGGUGGGGGUUGGAAGGUUUGGGCGGUUGGGGAUGGACUCGCGGCUUAUCAGCUUGUUGGUGGGGUAGUGGCUUACCAAGGCUUUGACGGGUAGCCGGCCUGAGAGGGUGACCGGCCACAUUGGGACUGAGAUACGGCCCAGACUCCUACGGGAGGCAGCAGUGGGGAAUAUUGCACAAUGGGCGGAAGCCUGAUGCAGCAACGCCGCGUGCGGGAUGACGGCCUUCGGGUUGUAAACCGCUUUCGCCUGUGACGAAGCGUGAGUGACGGUAAUGGGUAAAGAAGCACCGGCUAACUACGUG